rnacentral:rRNA from 1 species
UAGGGAAUCUUCCACAAUGGGCGAAAGCCUGAUGGAGCAACGCCGCGUGUGUGAUGAAGGGUUUCGGCUCGUAAAACACUGUUGUAAGAGAAGAAUGGCAUUGAGAGUAACUGUUCAAUGUGUGACGGUAUCUUACCAGAAAGGAACGGCUAAAUACGUGCCUG